CGAUCCAUAAGUCAUUGAUUGUAUUUGACCCGUGGCUGACUCUUAAUCAGCGGGUCCCAGGUUCGAGCCCUGGUGCGUCCACCA
rnacentral:tRNA from 1 species